rnacentral:rRNA from 1 species
UACGGGGGGGGCAAGCGUUGUUCGGAAUUACUGGGCGUAAAGGGCGCGUAGGCGGCCUUCUAAGUCGGACGUGAAAUCCCUCGGCUCAACCGAGGAACUGCGUCCGAUACUGAAAGGCUUGAAUCCGGGAGAGGGAUGUGGAAUUCCCGGUGUAGCGGUGAAAUGCGCAGAUAUCGGGAGGAACACCAGUGGCGAAGGCGGCGAUCUGGGUCGAUACUGACGCUGAGGUGCGAAAGCGUGGGGAGCAAACAGG